rnacentral:rRNA from 1 species
AUUGAACGCUGGCGGCAUGCCUUACACAUGCAAGUCGAACGGUAACAGAUCUUCGGAUGCUGACGAGUGGCGAACGGGUGAGUAAUACAUCGGAACGUGCCUAGUAGUGGGGGAUAACUACUCGAAAGAGUGGCUAAUACCGCAUGAGAUCUACGGAUGAAAGCAGGGGAUCGCAAGACCUUGUGCUACUAGAGCGGCCGAUGGCAGAUUAGGUAGUUGGUGGGAUAAAAGCUUACCAAGCCGACGAUCUGUAGCUGGUCUGAGAGGACGAUCAGCCACACUGGGACUGAGACACGGCCCAGACUCCUACGGGAGGCAGCAGUGGGGAAUUUUGGACAAUGGGCGCAAGCCUGAUCCAGCAAUGCCGCGUGCAGGAUGAAGGCCUUCGGGUUGUAAACCGCUUUUGUCAGGGAAGAAAUCUUCUGGGUUAAUAGUACUCAGCUUUGACGUUACCUACAGAAGAAGCACCGGCUAACUCUGUGCCAGCAGCCGCAGUAACAC